UUUCCAUACACAAUGUAUUCAAAGUAAAAUACAAUUAUGCAAGAGAGAUAGACAUAUCAAUACACUAGGAUUUUAAAGUUCAAUUCUAAAAAAGUAUGUUCAUAAAAUUGUAUUUAUGCAGUUUAUUAUGUUAAAUUAUAAAGGGUGUCAUAAUAAAUUUCCUUUAAAUAAAUGUGUAAAGAAGCCGAAAAAAUAAGAUAUUCAAACUCAACAAUACAAAAUUAUUUUUUUGAGGUCCAUCAACUAAAAUAAAAGACUAGAAGCUUAAUAACUCUUUCGCCUCGUAAUUGUAUUAAGGUCAUUAUUUACUACAAUGGUAAUUAAAAAAUUGUGGACAGAAAUGUCAAAAAUACGUAUCAUAUAUAAUACGAGAGAAAAAGUAGAACAUCAUUAUAAAGUGUUUGAUAAAAACAGGAUAAUUUAUUACUCAGAAGUUUUUAAAGACGCCAAAAAAAGUUUACAAUGAACCUUGUUAUACAGUCUUUAACUUAGUAAUACUCUUUUAUUUUAUUUUUAUAAAUUUUGAAAAAAAAACUACAUUAAGGCACAAAAAAAGUUAUAAUUACAAUUUCAA